AGUCNANGGGUAACAUUGUANCUUGNUNCAGAUGACGACCGGCGCACGNNNNCNNANNGCGUAUAGAACCUACCUUUUACAGGGGGAUAGCCUUUUUAAAUGAAGAUUAAUACCCCAUAUUAUUAAGUUUUGGCAUCAAGACUUACUUANAGAUUUAUUGGUAAAAGAUGGCUAUGCGUCCUAUUANCUAGAUGGUAAGGUAAUGGCUUACCAUGGCAACGAUAGGUAGGGGCCCUGAGAGGGGGAUCCCCCACACUGGUACUGAGACACGGACCAGACUCCUACGGGAGGCAGCAGUGAGGAAUAUUGGGCAAUGGAGGANANUCUGACCCNCCAUGCCGCGUGCAGGAAGACUGCCCUAUGGGUUGUAAACUGCUUUUAUACAGGAAGAAACACUAGUANGANUACUAGCUUGACGGUACUGUAANAAUAAGCACCGGCUAACUCCGUGCCAGCAGCCGCGGUAAUACGGAGGGUGCAAGCGUUAUCCGGAAUCAUUGGGUUUAAAGGGUCCGCAGGCGGUCAAUUAAGUCANAGGUGAAAUCCCAUANCUUAACUAUGGAACUGCCUUUGAUACUGGUUGACUUGAGUCAUAUGGAAGUAAAUA
rnacentral:rRNA from 1 species